rnacentral:lncRNA from 1 species
UAUGAAUCAAUAAUACUAAUAUAAAAUUUUAUCCGAAAAACUCAUCACUAAAUGCAUAAACAAAAAAAAAAAAACAAACCCUAAACCCUAUAAUCCUAAGCAUUAUUCUAAACCAAACAUUAAACCCAACCUAAACCAAACGCUAAACUUUUCCUACUACCUAAACCCUAAAUCCUACCUAACCCUAAACCCUACCUAAACCUAGACCUUAACCCUAUCUAACCCUAAACCCUACAUAAACCUAACCCUAAUCCCUAAACCCUUCGUACCACCUAAAUCUUAAACCUAUCUAACCGUAAACCUACUUAACCCUAACCCUAAACCCUAUUUAACCCUAAACCCUAUUUAACCCUAAACCCUGCCUAACCAUAAACCCUUCAUAACCCUAAAACCCAACCUAAAACCUAACCCUAAACCUACCUAACCCUAACCCUAAACCCUACCAAACCCUAAACCCUACUAACCCUAAACACUACCUAACCCUAACCCUACAUAACCCUAAACCCUACUAACCCUACCUAACCUAAAACCUUCCUAACCCUAAACCCUUUCUAGCCCUAAACCCUACCUAACCCUAAACCCUAAACCCUACUAACCUUAAUCCCUACUAACCCUAAACACUUUCUAACCCUAAACCCUACCUAACCCUAAGCCCUACCUAAUUCUAAACCCUACCUAACCCUAAACCCUACCUAACCCUAAACCCUACCUACCAUAAUCCAUUUCUAACCCUAAACCCUACCUAUUCAUAUGUCGAAUCCAAUCAGAGAAAUCAAACAAUCUUUGUAUCAUAGCUUAAAAGUCGAAUCCAAUCAGAGAAACCAAAAAAAUCUUUGCCAACUAGCUUAAAAGUCGAAUCCAAUCAGAUAAACCAAAAAAACCGUAAAUUCCAAGAGUAUCGACAAACUAAACCUUGUCUGGUUAUCGUCGAUGUUUGCGAUGGAUAUAAUUGAAGUAGCAGAGUAGGGAGUAGCAAACUCCUCUGGUCGGACUCUCUUCAUCGGAUCGAAACCAUAUAGAGCUUCCAUUGAUACGCGAUUGAAAAAAAAAGAAAAAGAAAAAAUUCAGGACAUACGACGGCGUUUUAGAAAACGCGGAGGAGAGUAAAAAAAAAUAAAUGAAAAAUAAAAAUUCAAAAAACUCAGCCAAUAUAAUUAUAAUGUUUAUCCUGAGAAGCUCUAUAUGAGUGCCACCUCAGCAGAAAUCACUAAAGUGACUUCUCUUUUAAUGUAUAGGAGUAUAUGAUUUAAAAAGCCUUUACAAAUUUUUAUUUUUAAACAUUCACCAAAAAUUUUAUAAAAGUAAAUAUCCAUUCAGCUUCUCAACCACUUCAAAUACCACCAACGCCAAAAAAAUUUAAUCAAGUGCACGAAAACUAUAAUAUAUUUAAAACUACAAUAAAUACAUUAGUUAAUGAAAAAUCCUUUUUAAAAAAUAUUAUGGAUGCAUACAUAAAUAUUAAGAGAAUUGUAUAAAAAGAUUUAAAAGUAACAAUAACUUGAAAAACAAAAUGUAUAAGACUGAGAAUAUAUAUGAUUUGUGGUCUAAGAUAUAUUUAACUUAUUGUCACAAAAAACUUAAUAAAAAAAUACAUACUUUGUUUUAAGAACAUUAAAAAUCACGUUAAAAAUUUUAACAUUUUAAGAAAAAUUAUGAAUCAAUAAUACUAAUAUAAAAUUUUAUCCGAAAAACUCAUCACUAAAUGCAUAAACAAAAAAAAAAAAACAAACCCUAAACCCUAUAAUCCUAAGCAUUAUUCUAAACCAAACAUUAAACCCAACCUAAACCAAACGCUAAACUUUUCCUACUACCUAAACCCUAAAUCCUACCUAACCCUAAACCCUACCUAAACCUAGACCUUAACCCUAUCUAACCCUAAACCCUACAUAAACCUAACCCUAAUCCCUAAACCCUUCGUACCACCUAAAUCUUAAACCUAUCUAACCGUAAACCUACUUAACCCUAACCCUAAACCCUAUUUAACCCUAAACCCUAUUUAACCCUAAACCCUGCCUAACCAUAAACCCUUCAUAACCCUAAAACCCAACCUAAAACCUAACCCUAAACCUACCUAACCCUAACCCUAAACCCUACCAAACCCUAAACCCUACUAACCCUAAACACUACCUAACCCUAACCCUACAUAACCCUAAACCCUACUAACCCUACCUAACCUAAAACCUUCCUAACCCUAAACCCUUUCUAGCCCUAAACCCUACCUAACCCUAAACCCUAAACCCUACUAACCUUAAUCCCUACUAACCCUAAACACUUUCUAACCCUAAACCCUACCUAACCCUAAGCCCUACCUAAUUCUAAACCCUACCUAACCCUAAACCCUACCUAACCCUAAACCCUACCUACCAUAAUCCAUUUCUAACCCUAAACCCUACCUAUUCCUAAACCCCUUCUAACCCUAAACCUGACCUAACCCUAAACCCUGACUAACCCUAAACCCUACCCAACCCUAAACCGUUUCUAGCCCUAAAUCCUACUAACCCUAAACCUUUCUAACCCUAAACCUUUCUAACCCUAAACCAUGCUAACCCUAAACCCUACCUAAUUCUAAACCCUACUUAACCCUAACCCUACAUAACCCUACAUAACCCUAAUUCCUACUAACCCUAAACCCUACCUAACCUAAACCCUACCUAACCCUAAAACCUUUCUAACCCUAAACCCUUUCUAGCCCUAAACCCUACUUAACCCAAAACCCUACUAACCCUAAACCCUACUAACCUCAAACCCUACUAACCCUAAACCCUACCUAAUUCUAAACCCUACCUAACCCUAAACCCUACCUAACCCUAAACCCUACAUACCCUAAACCCUUUCUAACCCUAAACCCUACCUAACCCUAAACUUGACCUAACCCUGAACCCUGCCUAACCCUAAACCCUACCUAACCCUAAACCCUACCUAACCCUUAACCCCUUCUAACACUAAAUCUGACCUAACCCUAAACCCUGCCUAAACCCUACCUAAUCCUAAACCCUUUCUAACCCUAAACCCUUUCUUACCCUAAACCCUUUCUAACCCUAAACCAUGCUAAUCCUAAACCCUACCUAAUUAUAAACCCUACCUAACCCUAACCCUACAAAACCCUAAACCCUACUAACCCUAAACCCCACCUAAUCUAAACCCUACGUCUAAACCCUACCUAACCCUAAAACCUUUCUAACCCUAAACCCUUUCUAGCCCUAAACCCUACCUAACCCUAAACCCUAAACCCUACUAACCCUAAACCCUACAUAACCCUAAACCCUACCUGACCUUAAACCCUACUAACCCUAAACCCUACCUAACCCUAAGCCCUACCUAACCCUAAACCCUAC